rnacentral:lncRNA from 1 species
CGCAGCGCAGCGCACGCGUACUUCGUUCAGCGUAGUUUUCGGUAAGGGUCGGAGGGCGCUAUCGAGGCUGAAGACUCCUCCGCGGCGGCGUGCGACAUAAAGCUGUUCUGCGGCAGGUGCAGCCUCUCUUNUACAGACUCUCCUCAAUCUUCACCUCCUUACUGCUGCUAUCCCAGUUGCAAUCCGAAAGGAAGACACGUCCAACCUCAAGAGCCUUCCGCAGGGGCAGGUGAAUCUACAGAAUGAAUUUGGCUGCAGCUUAAAAUUGGCACGGCAACUUCUUUUCAAAACAAAGAAACUUAGACAGAGCUAUCUUGCUGACCAGCUACCUGGAGUUCAGAACAUCCUUCUAAAUGAUUCAGGGCUGCUUCCCUCGAUGACCCUUGAUCUCCACACUUGGCUUUCUCUUCCAGAUGCUGUGCGCCUGUCCUAUAUGGCCAAGAUGCUGUUGUUUUAUCGGGGGUUAGUGCAGCAGCUGAGGGAUCACGAAGCAGCCAAGAAAGAUUCCAAAUACGUUGCUCCNUUUGAAGAUCUUAAUUUUUGCCUCCGAGACCUGACCCAUCAUAUUUCACUAGGUGGAUUUUUAAUUGACAACCAGCCAGAACCAACACUCAAACCUCUUCAGAUCCCUCAGGACCAAAGUCAAUGGAGAAAUCGCCAAAACACUUACCUCAUCUUGUGCUCUCUUGAGAAUCUCUUUGCUCGUAUUACACGAGAUUUCUCAAUUCUCAGGACUCGGGCAGCUAAAGACGCUUCACUUUUCAAGGUGUCCAAACUACAGUCCUCUCAUCCAAACUCCAGCCCUCUCCCAUUUAACACUCAUUCGAACAUACCUGGAUAAGCUGACAGUCUGACAUCUUGUAGUAAUUUAUUAACUUUAUUGCUCAACUUAAAUUAAUUUAUAAGUAUUUAUUUUUCUAAAAUAUUUAUCUG